CAGCCUCGCCCUUUUGGGCGUUUCCUCCCUAUACCUUCAGAGCCGCGCCCGGCUUGGGCCGCGGCUCUUUUUUUGCCCUC
rnacentral:sRNA from 1 species